rnacentral:lncRNA from 1 species
CCUAAAAAGCAGUGGGUGAGAAGGUUAGCAGUUAGGAAGGUGGGGAAAGGGGACCAUGUACAGUUCUGGGAUGAUGUUUGGUGUGGAGAAGUGCCUUUGAGCGUGAUUUUCCCUAAGUUACAUAACAUAAGCAGAAAUCAGGGGGUGUCUGUAAGUGAAAUGUGGUUGGCUGAUAUCCUGGUCAAAUCUCCGUUGCAGGUGGUGUAUAGGACUAUAUCCUUAAUGCAGCGGUGGCGAAUCAUGCUAAAGGGGGACAUGCUUGUUAUGGCAAAUAAGUGGAUGGAGGAAGUCAUGAUCAAGCUACUCUAA